GGAGGCAGCAGUAGGGAAUCUUCCGCAAUGGGCGCAAGCCUGACGGAGCAACGCCGCGUGAGCGAAGAAGGCCUUCGGGUUGUAAAGCUCAGUCAAUCGGGAAGAGCGGAUGGGAGAGGGAAUGCUCCCAUCGAGACGGUACCGAUAGAGGAAGCCCCGGCUAACUACGUGCCAGCAGCCGCGGUAAUACGUAGGGGGCGAGCGUUGUCCGGAAUCACUGGGCGUAAAGGGUGCGUAGGCGGUUUGUCAAGUCCGAAGUGAAAGUCCAUGGCUCAACCAUGGGAAUGCUUUGGAAACUGGCAGACUUGAGUGCUGGAGAGGCAAGGGGAAUUCCACGUGUAGCGGUGAAAUGCGUAGAUAUGUGGAGGAAUACCAGUGGCGAAGGCGCCUUG
rnacentral:rRNA from 1 species